rnacentral:rRNA from 1 species
AUUGAACGCUGGCGGCACGCCUAACACAUGCAAGUCGAGCGGCAGCGAGAUGAGUAGCAAUACUCAUUGUCGGCAAGCGGCGGACGGGUGAGGAACACGUAGGAAUCUACCCUCAAGCGGGGGACAACCAAGGGAAACUUUGGCUAAUACCGCAUAGAUUCGAAAGAGGAAAGAUGCCCGCAAGGGUGUCACUUGAGGAGGAGCCUGCGUCCGAUUAGCUAGUUGGUGGGGUAAAAGCCUACCAAGGCGAUGAUCGGUAACUGGUCUGAGAGGACGACCAGUCACACUGGGACUGAGACACGGCCCAGACUCCUACGGGUGGCAG